CUCCGGCAUCGACGGUGACUCAAUCCGCGGCAUUGGCUGCCGGCGGCGGUUAUGGAGGUGCCCAUCCUCCUGCACAUGCUCAUGUUUUUCUUGCCUCAGACUGCCCAAAUCACUGUGGAGCACGGCGAAACUCGUCCACCGUCGCACUUGACAGCCACUGUGAUGGGUUUCAAUACCAUUCCCUGUUGAAACCAAAAAAAACCCAGGUAUUAUUCAUUGCCUUUAUUCUUACUUUUUCGUUCUGGAGUAGGAGUAUUACUGAAGCAAGUACUACUACCUUAGGAUUACGAAAUCAGUUACCAANNNNNNNNNNUUGUGGAGCACGGCAAAACUCGUCCACCGUCGCACUUGACAGCCACUGUGAUGGGUUUCAAUACAAUUCCAUGUUGAAACAAAAAAAAACCCAGGUAUUAUUCAUUGCCUUUAUUCUUACUUUUUUGUUCUGGAGUAGGAGUGUUACUGAAGCAAGUACUACUACCUUAGGAUUACGAAAUCAGUUACCAAAUAAAGCAGGCAAUUUGUUCAUCCCCAUUACUUAUUUUUUUACGUCAGUACAGUUAAACAAAACACUAUCUCAAAAAGGCGCUACCUCAGAAUUACUGUUGAUCGUGAUCACAUCACAUCUCAAAUCGUUCAUAAGUUCCGACCAGUCAUAUCAACCCCAUUCAAAUCGUAAAACACACACUGAAUUGUGGCAUAAUCAUAGUCAAAAUCAGUCAAACGACUGCAAUAGACACUGAAUCUGCUCAGGGGAAAACAUAAUCAGGGAAACAAAUUGCUAAGGGAAAUAAAGUCUUUAAGUUCAGUUGCAAAUUUUCUUCAACCCGCUGCGUAGAGCCUCAUCUCACUUCGAUUUCACGAAUGAUAUAUCCCCACGGGAGCACAUCAUAUAGGGUUCUCUGCAGUCAUAAUAACUGCUCUUAGUACAUUCACUCAUAUAACCAGUGACAUUACACAUAAUAAAAACAAUGCUCAUGCAAAAUUAUAUUUCUCCUACAUUAUCCCAAUUUUCGAACAUUAUAAAGGGCAAUAGACGACAAUUCAAUGGACUAUCCUAAUUCGUUACUAGUAUCAUUUUGUCCACUUCUUCUGAAAGAAACACAAAUACGUAUAAUUUUAGAUAACCAAGAACGUAAAAAAGUAGGAACCUUAGUCUGCCUACGCCGUGUCCAUGGGCUGACUCUGGCUUCUCAGCUGCGUCCCUUGCACUUUCUUGAAUUUAGCAGUUAUACAUUCAGGUAGGCUUAGAUUUCCCAGCCACUGCGUCGCUUUCUUGAACAUAGUCUUUAUGCGCUUAAUCACCAUCUGAAAGAGAAAAAAAGAAUCAAAGGACAUAUGUAUGAUACCUUACUACUUUUUAAUUUGAAAUCAUCAGUCGUGAUCAAGAGGCAUUGUACCUCUGUCGGCUGAAAGUAAUUCAGCCAAAUGACCACCGUCAUGCACAAGACGACACAUGCAAAAGGCCAUACAACUGAUUUGGAAACACCUCUACAAACACACAGUGUUAUAAAUGGUGCUGCGCACAACCACAGAAGUAUUAAAAGCUGCACUAUUUGUAGGACUUUGAAUCCAAGAUUUUCAGGCAAUGCUCCCUCCUUGAAGCUUGAAGCAGGACCUAUCAGAAUAAGGCNNNNNNNNNNCCGGCUGAAAGUAAUUCAUCCAAAUGAUCACCGUCAUGCACAAGACUGCACAGGCAGAAGGCCAUACAACUGAUUUGGAAAUAUCUCUACAAACAUGCAGUGUUAUAAAUGAUGCUGAGCACAACCACAGAAGUAUUAAAAGCUGCGCUAUUUGGAGGAGUUUGAAUCCAAAACUGUCACGCAAUGCUCCCUCCUUGAAGCUUGAAGCAGGACCUAUCAGAAUAAGGCUGAUGAUGGUCACUACAAUGUGUGCUGUGGGAAUGAUGUCCUUCCAAGUGCCAAAAUUUGCAUUUGAGCAAAAUAAAGUCCAAUUAGGAAUGAGAAACCCUGAGCAAGCAAGUGAGGCGAUCGCAGUGUUCAAGACAAAACCAUGCCUACCCUGAGUUCAGACAAAGCAGUAAGAAAAAUUGGCGCAGCUACAGAGCUUUUGGUAUAGUCUAAUGCCAGGGAAAGGAUAAUCACCUUCAUUUUCUUCUCAUUCUCAUCAGAAUCAUUUUCAUCAUCAGGANNNNNNNNNNGAGUACAAGGUGUCCUGUGGGAAUGAUGUCCUUCCAAGUGUCAAAAUUUGCAUUUGAGCAAAAGAAAGUCCAAUAAGGAAUGAGAAACCCCAAGCAAGGAAGUGAGGCGAUUGCAGUGUUCAAGACGAAACCAUGCCUACCCUGAGUUCAGACAAAGCAGUAAGAAAAACUGGCACAACUACAGAGCUUUUGGUAUAGUUUAAUGUCACGAAAAGGAUAAUUACCUUCAUUUUCUUCUCAUUCUCAUCAGAAUCAUUUUCAUCAUCAGGAAUGCCUAUGCCAACAUGAUCAAUUGGACUGUUCGUUGCUCUCUUCUUCUGAAUCAACAAAACAAUACGUCAGAGAGCAAAAAACAAAACUAGGAGGAUAUGGACAGGGAGAGGAAAGAAAACGAUGCAAGUUGUUCUCACCGCUAUUUCCAUCCCAGUAUUUUUAUCAGAGUAACUGCUCCUAAAAUUCGUAGUGUUAUUUGGAACAAUUGGAACUAGUGCAUGUUCCUCAGCAUUUUUGCCACCAUGGUUGCUUGCCUCAGCUCCCACAGGAUUGCUAGCAUGCUGAGCAUUGACGAGUCGAUAAGACACAAUGUCAUUAUGUUCAUGACAUUGGGGCAACAAUAAAGGAAAUAAUCAAAGGGAAGUGGGAGCAUAUACCAUGCCGCUGGAAGGUUGACCCUCCACAUUGUCCUGAUAAAAGAAAAAAAAGUAGCAUCUUUUAAUUUAUGGCAAAGCGUCGCAAGCCAAAAGCAAGGAAGAGCAAGAAAAUGUGUAGUACACACUCCAACAGUAUAUAAGUUUUUUAAUAAAUAAACACCACAAAUUACAUAAAUGUAUACAAGUGGCUGAGCUUGAUGAAAAUGUUGUGGGGGCAGGAAAACAACCUAUAUAUGCUUAACCUUGGAAGCAGUUAGGUCACUGCAGGGAACUAGUGAUGGUGAUCCUAUGCAUGAGCUAAAGAGAGUACGCUUGAUUUAAAGUUGUGCUAAGCACAGUGAGAGGGGGUAACAUUCUCAAAGAUGAAUCCAUUCAUCUGCUUCCAGAUGUUCCAGGCUACAAUGUGAUGGCGUUUUCCAUGAAGUUAGGGCGGUUGAAAUUGGUUCUGGUCUCGAUCAAAUCUUCAAGGCUGUGCUAGUGCCCCAGUUCAUGUGGAUGCCCUCCCGACAUAGUAAUAUAUAUAUAUAUAUAUAUAUAUAUAUAUAUAUNNNNNNNNNNNNNNNNNNNNNNNNNNNNNNNNNNNNNNNNNNNNNNNNNNNNNNNNNNNNNNNNNNNNNNNNNNNNNNNNNNNNNNNNNNNNNNNNNNNNAGUCGACCUGCAGGCAUGCAAGCUUGAGCUAUGCUUUCCCUAUAACGAGGCCAAAAGUUAUAAAUAAAGUUCGAUCACGAUGUACUAAAUGCAUAGGAUAGAACUUUUGAUGAAAUUCCAAUUUCAACCGAUUGUAGCCCCAUGAUCCAGCAUCAUCACAUAGCCUAUACCAUGUCAAUGCCUUAUCCUUCAAAGAUAAAGGAAAUACUUUCUUCUUUACCUCAUACUCGGGCAAACCUGCAAGCUUAAAUAAACCACAAACUUCAUCUACAUAGAUUAGAUGAAAGUCUGGAUGUGAAGAUCCAUCUCCUGUAAAAGGAUUAGCCAACAGUUUCUCAAGCAUACCCAAAGGAAUUUCAUAAAUGAUAUUUUCAGUAGGUACCUCAGGUUGAAGAGCAACUCCUCGUGCUUCUGUUCGUGGUGAAGAUACCCCAAAGAAACUCCUCAAAGGAAGAGUUUCCAUAGUGACAAGUGACAAUAAAUUUCAGCACAAUAUAAAAAUGUUUCCUUACCAAUUUCCACUUAUCAAAGGCGCUUCACUCCCCGGCAACGGCGCCAGAAAAGAGUCUUGAUGACCCACAAGUAUAGGGGAUCAAUCGUAGUCCUUUCGAUAAGUAAGAGUGUCGAACCCAACGAGGAGCACAAGGCUCUGAUAAACGGAUUUCAGCAAGGUAAUAACUGCAAGCACUGAAAGUAGCGGUAACAAGUGAUUGUGUAGCGAGGUGAAACGCAGCAAGCAAAGAGUAACAAGUAACAAGUAGUAGCAACGGUGCAGCAAGUGGCCCAAUCCCUUUUGUAGCAAGGGACAAGCCUGAACAAAGUCUUAUAGGAGGAAAAACGCUCCCGAGGACACACGGGAAUUUCUGUCAUGCUAGUUUCGUCAUGUUCAUGUGAUUCGCGUUCGUUACUUUGAUAGUUUGAUAUGUGGGUGGACCGGCGCUUGGGUACUACCCUUACUUGGACAAGCAUCCCACUUAUGAUUAACCCCUCUCACAAGCAUCCGCAACUACGAAAGAAGAAUUAAGACAACGUCUAACCAUAGCAUUAAACUAGUGGAUCCAAAUCAGCCCCUUACGAAGCAACGCAUAGACUGGGGUUUAAUCUUUUGUCACUCCAGCAACCCAUCAUCUACUUACUACUCCCCAAUGCCUUCCUCUAGGCCCAAGUAUGGUGAAGUGUUAUGUAGUCGACAUUCACAUAACACCACUAGAGGAAAAGACAACAUACAUCAUAUCACAAUACCGAACGAAUAUCAAAUUCACAUGACUAUUAUUAACAUGACUUAUCCCAUGUCCUCAGGAACAAAAGUAACUACUCACAAAGCAUAAUCAUAAGCAUGAUCAGAGGUGUAAUGAAUAGCAUCAAGGAUCUGAACAUAAUCUCUUCCACCAAGUAAUCCAACUAGCAUCAACUACAAAGAGUAAUCAACACUACUAGCAACCUUACAAGUANNNNNNNNNNCGGAGUCGCGAGAUUGGUUACAAGAGAUGAACUAGGGAUUGGAGAGGAGAUGGUGCUGAUGAAGAUGUAGAUGAAGAUGCCUCCCCUCCGACGAGAGGAGUGUUGGCAAUGACGAUGGCGACGAUUUCCCCCUCCCGGAGGGAAGUUUCCCUAGCAGGAUCGUCCUGCCGGAGCUCUAGAUUGGAUCUGCUCAAGUUCCGCCUCGUGGCGGCACGAAACCAUGAAAAAGCUCCCUCUUGAUUUUUCUAGAACGAAACCCUUCAUAUAGCAAAAGAGGGGGCCAGUGGGCCGUCAGGGAGCCCAGAAGCCCUGUAGCCGCCACCAGGGGGUGGCGGCUACCAGGCUUGUGGGGCCCUGGUACCUCCCCUCUGGUACUUCUUUCGCCCACUAUUUUUUAUAUAAUCCCAAAAAAUUCUACGGAAAUUUUCAAGGCAUUUCGAGUUGUGCAGAAUAGAGGACUCAGAUUUGCUCCUUUUCUAGUCCAGAAUUCCAGCUGCCUGAAUUCUCCCUCUUCAAAUAAACCUUGCAAAAUAAGAGAGAAAAGACAUAAAUAUGGUACCACAAAGUAAUAUAACAGCCCAUAAAGCGAUAAAUAUCAACAUGAAAGCAUGAUGCAAAAUGGACGUAUCAAGUAGCAAGUAGCAGCAGAGCAAAGCAAGUAACAACAGCAGCAACAGUAGUAACAGCAGAGAGCAAAACAAGUGACAACAGCAACAACAGUAGUAACAGCAGCAGAGCAAAACAAGUAACAGCAGCAGUGGGACAAACUCGUAGGGAAUGGGUCGGUGAUUUGUCUGGAUGAUAUUCAUCAUGCAACAGUUAUAACACGGAGAGAUAUGUGGCUAGCUCCCGUUCAUCAAUGUGAUGUAGGCAUGCAUUCCGUGUGUCGUCAUACGUUCUUAGGGAAAAGAACUUGCAUGACAUUUAUUGUCCAUCCCUCCCGUGGUAGCGGGGUCCAAAAGGAAACUACGUGAUAUUAAAGUUCUCCUUUUAAUAAUGAACCGGACCAACGCAUUAGCACUUGGUGAACACUUGAACUCCUCAAACUAUGGUCAUCACUGGGAGUGGUUCCGGUUAUUGUCACUCCGGGGUUGCCGGGUCAUAACACAUAGUAUGUAACUACAACUUGCAAGAUCGGAUCUAAAACACACAUAUAUUGGUGACAACAUAAUAAUUUCAGAUCUGAAAUCAUGGCACUCGGGCCCUAGUGACAAGCAUUAAGCAUGACAACAUAUAUCUCAUCCUACUCAUCACCGCCCAGCGAGCCUACGAAUCAUUCAAAGGAGAAUACCAUCCUAUCAUACUACAUCAUAGUCAUCUCAAAAUCUAUGUUGGCAUUCAAGACAAACCAUUAUAAGCUCUCAGCUAAUUAAGCAUGGCAUCAGAAACUAUGAUCUCUAAGUUGUCAUUGCAAACAUGGUUCUCUCACAACUAAGCUGAAUCUGGAACGACAAGCUAGUCAUAUUUACAAAAACAAAAUAGAUAGAGUNNNNNNNNNNNNNNNNNNNNNNNNNNNNNNNNNNNNNNNNNNNNNNNNNNNNNNNNNNNNNNNNNNNNNNNNNNNNNNNNNNNNNNNNNNNNNNNNNNNNCAAUGAAUUCAGUGAGCUCUUAACAACAAUUUAGUGCCAUUUGAUUUGUACACUUAGGCCCCAAAAGACGACUAUAGUUAGCCCAAAAUACUAUACUUAACUAUGUCCAAAAUACUUCUAGCGAGCUUGCAUGCUAGAACAGAUCAUCCUCAUCACAAGGCGGAGCUGUCAAGAGCUGGGUGAAACUCAUGAUAGCAUUGCACUCUUGGGGCUGUACAUCAUCCUUCUUAUUUUUGUACACACCAUCCUUCUUUUUUUGCACACCAUCCUUCUUCUUUUUUGGCUGCCAAUGAAAAGUAUAGUAAUUAGUUUACAAAUGAAGAAUAAAAACAUAUCAUUCAUAGCACUAGUGGCAUUGAGUAUCUCCUGUAUGUAAGUGCAACGGAGGCAAGUGCAUUGGCCAAUAGCAAACAACACUAUGAGGAGAUGGCUGCUCCAUGUGCCAUAUUGUGAAAUUGAUGAGACAAAUCCCUAUACCGAAGUUGAGCUUCAAGUUUUGGAUUUUCUACCACUUCCAUUCCUUCCUUAUCUUGUAUACUUCCAUUGCGAGCUUCUCUAGUCCAUCUCUUCAAGACAUAAUGUGUCGGCAAUGUCUUUAUAUUCAUCAAAUCAAGGACUUUUAGACCAUGUCCACACAAUAUUCCCGUCCUAUUGAACAUUCCACAACUACAUGAAACCGUUUUGGUCAAAGGAUCACCUAUCACUAUGCGCUCCUCCUCAAACUCUAAAUCACCAUGCAAACUCGCAAUAGCAACGACAAAUCUGUUAUUUCCAUCCAAUACUCUACAACAUGCAGCCGUUGAUCUUUCAUACUCACCUUGGAAAGCUUCAAAUAUAAUCGAAGUGUACACUUUGCUUGCUUCCACCAACAUAGGAGUGUACAUCUUAAUUCUUGGUAUAUAUUUUCUUGCAUUGAAUUCAGGUUGCAAUUCCUUUGUUCGUUUUACUUCCACCGUCCUCUCAAAAUGCAUCAAAUGAAACAAUCAUCCGAACUUUACAAUUUGUUCUUGUUUCGGCUCUAAUGCACUUCGGCUCGUGAUCUAUUUGACUUUUUCUUCGAAUGCCUUCAUUGGAACAAACAAACCUGCAUGAAGUGAUUGUUCCAUCAGUUCUACUUUUGAUGGUAUUUCUUUUCCUCACAUCAAAGCCUAUUUGACCUCCAUAUUGCAGCCAGAACUCCCAAGCCUCAUCCGAAUUUCUGAACCGCAUACCAACUUCGGGUAUCCUGUUGCCAAUCGAUCCCAUCGCACAACACACGGUUCUGCCAAAUUCCACGGUGUAUACAAAUUAGUGGAACAAGAUAGAAGCUAACUGAAAUUACAAAGUAGUAUACAAGUGCUGUCACAUUUCUGAAUAGAAUUACAAGUGUAAUAGUAGUAUACAAGUGCUGCCAAAUUUCUGAAUAGAAUUGUUCAGGAAUACUCGCUGCCAAAUUUCUAAAUAGAAUUAUGCGGAAUUACUCACUGCAAGUGAUGUAGUAUACAAGUUAUAGAAUUAUUCAGAAAUGUAGUGCUGACUCAAAACCGCACUCCUAUGUUAAAACCGGACACAAAGCUCAGCAGAUUCAGAGAAUAUAGUGCUGACUCAAAGCUGGCCCCACCUCUGGCAAUAAUGGAAUAAGAGAGAGAGAGGGAACCUGAGAAGUGGUUGCUGACGAUGAUGAACGGUCCGCUGCUCGCGGCGGCGCUCGUCCCCGGCUCCCGCGGCGGACGGCGCUCGUCCCCGACCCACGGAGGCGUUUGGCCCUGGUUCCCGCGGCGGACGGCGCUCGUCCCUGCCUCUCCUCAGUGGCGACGGCGGCGACGGCGGGCGGCAACCGCGGGUGGCGACGGCAGCGGCGGCCGGCCGCGAGACGAGGAGACGCCGGCGAAUCGCCCCGCCAAAGCCCGCCUUUUCCCUGCUUUCCCCGUCAGAUUUUACCGCCGACGCGCUGACCUGGUCUGUGUUCUCUGUCUGGAAGUUGUUUUGCCUUGAGAAAAUGUGGUCCGUUGGAUUCAGGCUGGGCGGUGGAUGGGAGGCUGCGAGGCAGACGGUGACAUUCCGUUUGCAUGUCUGAUCUGUGUCCGUCUACGAGAGAGGUAUCGAGGACAAAACAACACUUUUGGCCAGUCUCCGCCUACCUUCACCCAAUCCUCCUUAUCCACAAACACACACCUCACUCAUUCCCCUGUGAACGAUAGCCGGCGGCGCAAUCCUUUUGCUUCCUCUUCCCGUCCUUGGUGGCUGGGCCUUGAGCAUCUCAGCCAUCUGGUCUGCAGCUCCUCCUUGUCCUCCUACUCUAGCGGCAGCUCGCAGAGCCCAAGGGGACGGCGUCGGAUGUAGUGGCGAGACAUGGAUCUCCGCCUCUCCGGCAUCGACGGUGACUCAAUCCGCGGCAUUGGCUGCCGGCGGCGGUUAUGGAGGUGCCCAUCCUCCUGCACAUGCUCAUGUUUUUCUUGCCUCAGACUGCCCAAAUCACUGUGGAGCACGGCGAAACUCGUCCACCGUCGCACUUGACAGCCACUGUGAUGGGUUUCAAUACAAUUCCAUGUUGAAACAAAAAAAAACCCAGGUAUUAUUCAUUGCCUUUAUUCUUACUUUUUUGUUCUGGAGUAGGAGUGUUACUGAAGCAAGUACUACUACCUUAGGAUUACGAAAUCAGUUACCAAAUAAAGCAGGCAAUUUGUUCAUCCCCAUUACUUAUUUUUUUACGUCAGUACAGUUAAACAAAACACUAUCUCAAAAAGGCGCUACCUCAGAAUUACUGUUGAUCGUGAUCACAUCACAUCUCAAAUCGUUCAUAAGUUCCGACCAGUCAUAUCGACCCCAUUCAAAUCGUAAAACACACACUGAAUUGUGGCAUAAUCAUAGUCAAAAUCAGUCAAACGACUGCAAUAGACACUGAAUCUGCUCAGGGGAAAAAAUAAUCAAGGAAACAAAUUGCUAAGGGAAAUAAAGUCUUUAAGUUCAGUUGCAAUUUUUUCUUCAACCCACUGCGUAGAGCCUCAUCUCACUUCGAUUUCACGAAUGUUAUAUCCCCACGAGAGCACAUCAUAUAGGGUUCUCUGCAGUCAGAAUAGCAGCGGUUAGUACAUUCACUCAUACAUAACCAGUGACAUUAAACAUAAUGAAAACAGUGCUCAUGCAAAAUUAUAUUCUCCUACAUUAUCCCAAUGUUCGAACAUUAUAAAGGGCAACAUAUGACAAUUCAAUGAACUAUCCUAAUUCGUUACUGUCUCUUUGUCCACUUCGUCUGAAAGAAAGCAAAAUUCAUAUAAUCUCAGAUAACCCAGAAUGUAAACAAGUAGGAAGCUUACUCUGCCUACACAGUUUCCAUGGGCUGACUCUGGCCUCUCUGAGUCCCUCGCACUUUCUUGAAUUUAGCAAUUAUACAUUCAGGUCGGCUUAGAUUUCCCAGCCACUGUGUCGCUUUCUUGAACAUAGUCUUUAUGCGCUUAAUCACCAUCUGAAAGAGAAAAAAAGAAUCAAAGGACAUAUGUAUGAUACCUUACUACUUUUUAAUUUGAAAUCAUCAGUCGUGAUCAAGAGGCAUUGUACCUCUGUCGGCUGAAAGUAAUUCAGCCAAAUGACCACCGUCAUGCACAAGACGACACAUGCAAAAGGCCAUACAACUGAUUUGGAAACACCUCUACAAACACACAGUGUUAUAAAUGGUGCUGCGCACAACCACAGAAGUAUUAAAAGCUGCACUAUUUGUAGGACUUUGAAUCCAAGAUUUUCAGGCAAUGCUCCCUCCUUGAAGCUUGAAGCAGGACCUAUCAGAAUAAGGCUGAUGAUGGUCACUACAAUGUGUGCUGUGGGAAUGAUGUCCUUCCAAGUGCCAAAAUUUGCAUUUGAGCAAAAUAAAGUCCAAUUAGGAAUGAGAAACCCUGAGCAAGCAAGUGAGGCGAUCGCAGUGUUCAAGACAAAACCAUGCCUACCCUGAGUUCAGACAAAGCAGUAAGAAAAAUUGGCGCAGCUACAGAGCUUUUGGUAUAGUCUAAUGCCAGGGAAAGGAUAAUCACCUUCAUUUUCUUCUCAUUCUCAUCAGAAUCAUUUUCAUCAUCAGGNNNNNNNNNNNNNNNNNNNNNNNNNNNNNNNNNNNNNNNNNNNNNNNNNNNNNNNNNNNNNGCCUAUGUCAACAUGAUGAAUUGGACUGUUGGUUGCUCUCUUUCUCUGAAUCAACAAAACAAUACGUCAGAGAGCAAAAAUAAAACUAGGAAGAUACGGACAGGGAGAGGAAAGAAAACGACGCAAGUUGUUGUCACCAUUGUUUCCGUCCCAGUGUUUUUAUAAGAGUAACUGCUCAUAGAAUUUGUAGUGCUAUUCAGAACAGUCGGAAUUACUGCAUGUUUCUCAUCAUUUUUGCCAUUGCAGCUGCUUGGCUCAGCUCCCACAGGAUUGAUAGCAUCCUGUCGAGCAUUAACGAGUUGGUAAGGCACAAUGUCAUUGUGUUCAUGACAUUGGUGCAACAAUAAGGGAAAUAAUCAAAGGGAAGUGGGAGCAUAUACCAUGCCACUGGAAGGUUGACACUCGACAUUGUCCUGAUAAAAGAAAAAAAAGUAGCAUCUUUUAGUUUAUGACAAAGCGUCGCAAGCCAAAAACAAGGAAGAGCAAGAAAAUUUGUAGUAGACACUCCAACAGUAUAUAAGUUUAUUCAUAAAUAAACACCACAAAUUACAUAAAUGUAUACAAGUGGCUGAGCUUGAUGAAAAUGUUGUGGGGGCAGGAAAACAACCUAUAUAUGCUUAACCUUGGAAGCAGUUAGGUCACUGCAGGGAGUUAGUGAUGGUGAUCCUAUGCAUGAGCUAAAGAGAGUAUGUUUGAUUUGAAGUUGUGCUAAGCACAGUGAGAGGUGGUAACAUUCUCAAAGAUGAAUCCAUUCAUCUGCUUCCAGAUGUCCCAGGCUGCAAUGUGAUGGCGUUUUCCAUGAAGUCAGGGCGGUUGAAAUUGGUUCUGGUCUCGAUCAAAUCUGCAAGGCUGUGCUAGUGCCCCAGUUCGUGCGGAUGCCCUCGACAUAAUAAUAUAUAUAUAUAAGACUCGAUCAAACAAUUGGAGGACCCAGGGCAACUGGCAUUGAGGUGAAAUUCCUGUACAUAGAGGGGAGCGCUGAAGAUGUGCAACAAUCUGGCGACAGAAGAUGCAGAUGUGAUGAAUGAGUCUUACUGAGUGUAAUGUGAUGUAGAAUUUCUGAAGUUUAAUGCAUAUGCCACGGUUGGCUGAAUAUGGUUUUCCCUGGAGGAGCAUUUAUCUAUUCUUCAGCUAAAGCUGUAUGCACCAGUAGUGCAGCACAAUGCUAAUUUUCAGUUAAAAUUUGUAUGCAUUGGUAAUGCGAUACAAAACUACUCCUUUCAUUUUUAAACAUAAGUCUUUUUAAAAAUUUCACUACGAACUAUAUAUGGAUGUACUAUAAAGACAUGUUUUAAAGUGUGAAUUCACUCAUUUUAUUUCGAAUGUAGUCCGUAGUGAAAUAUCUAGAAAGACUUAUAUUUA
rnacentral:lncRNA from 1 species